AUGAAAGAUGUCAUGCGAGCACGUUUUGUGCCCACCUACUACAACCGCGAUCUCUUCAAGAAGCUCCAACUCCUCAAGCAAGGAAAAAAGAGUGUUGAAGAAUACUACAAGGAAAUGGGGAUGGCCAUGAUUCGAGCCAAUGUCACGGAAGAUGAUGAGCAAACUAUGGCACGCUUCUUGCAUGGCCUCAAUCAUCCCAUCAAGAAGAUUGCCGACUUCCAACCCUACUCCAACCUCAUUGAGCUCGUGCAUCAAGCUACCAAAGCGGAACGCCAAGUGCAAGAUGACUUCAAGUACGCCAAGUACUCGUCUAAGACCUACGGCUUCUCCAAUGCCCAAGCUUCAACGACCCCUCCAACUUCUACCUCACCCAAGCCAUCUACAAGCAACGACGACAAGUCAAGUUACAAGAAAACUUCGACAAGCUCAAGUCGUCUUCCUCCUACUACAAGCAACUACAAGCCGCGCGCUUCAUCAUCUACUCCAACCGAUGAGACCGUCAAGACAAGCUCCUUCAAGUGUUUCACUUGCGGCGGCCGAGGCCACAAGUCCUUCCAAUGCACCAACAAGCGCACCAUGAUCCUCAACGACGACGGAACCUAUGACUUCAUGAGUGACGAGGAGAUGGAAGCCCUUGAGCAAGUGGCCAUGCACCGGCGCGUGAACGAGGACGAAGAUGAUCAAGUCUUUUGUGAUGAGGAUUCGAGCCCCGCUCUCGUUGUCUCCAAAGUCUUGACUCUUCAACAUCAACAAGAAGACCAACGAUGCCACAUCUUCCACACUAAGGCCGGCAUCAAUGGAAGGUCCAUCAAGGUCAUCAUCGAUGGAGGUAGUUGCCACGACUUGGCAAGUGAAGAACUAUGCUCCAAGCUACAAUUGGUCAAGAUGAAGCACCCGCACCCAUACAAGGUCCAAUGGCUAAGCGAUUCCGGCACUAUAAAGGUUGAGCAUACGGUCCAAGUCUCCUUCAAGAUUGGCGCAUAUAAGGACACUUUGGAGUGUGAUGUCGUCCCGAUGUCCGUUUGCCACCUCCUUCUUGGUCGACCAUGGCAAUUCGACCGCGGCGUCAUCCACAAUGGGCGUACCAAUCACUAUAGCUUCAAGAUGAAAGGGAAGGAGUAUGUGCUACGACUUAUGUCUCCUAGUCAAGUGAUAGCCGACAAGCAAGCCACCCAUCGUGGAGAGAAGAGUGAGAAAGUGAUCCACCCAAAAGAGAGUGAGAGCCACAAGCCAAAACCGAGUGCCUCCACGAUGAGCGACAAGAAAAACUUAGUCAUAUUUGCCACCAAAAGUGAGAUGAAAGAAGUGUGUGAGAACCCAUCAAGCGUUAUGCACUUUGUCCUUGUGUGCAAGGACGGGGAACCAAAAACUAACACCACUCACAAUCUACCUUUAGUGUUUCAAUCUCUUUUGCAGGAAUUCAAAGAUGUUUUCCCCGAUGAGCUACCUCCGGGUCUACCUCCUCUACGAGGCAUUGAACACCGAAUCGACCUCAUCCCCGAAGCACCUCUUCCAAACAAAGUUCCAUACUACGUCAACCCCGAAGAAACUAAAGAGAUCCAACGACAAGUACAACAACUCAUCGACAAUGGACAUGUACGUGAAAGCUUAAGCCCUUGUGCCGUUCCCGUUAUACUUGUGCCCAAGCAAGACGGUAAUUUUUGCAUGUGCUCGGAUUAUAGACCUAUCAUUGCUAUUACCGUUCGUUAUAGGCAUCCCAUUCCUUGCUUAGACGAUAUGCUUGAUGAACUUAGCGGUGCCACCAUUUUCUCAAAAAUUGAUCUCAAAAGUGGCUAUUAUCAAAUCCGCAUACAAGAAGGUGAUGAGUGGAAAACCGCUUUCAAAACCAAAUUUGGAUUGUACGAAUGGUUGGUUAUGCCUAUGGGUUUGUCGGAAGCUCCCUGUACUUUCAUGCGUCUUAUGCAUUUUGUGCUUCGACCUUAUAUUGGAGUGUUUGUUGUGGUUUACUUUGAUGAUAUUCUUGUGUUUAGCAAAUCCAUGAAAGAGCAUCUAAAGCAUGUUAGGGCUGUUUUGCAAACUCUUCGCAAGGAACGCCUUUAUGCCAACAUGAAAAAGUGCACGUUUGGUGUUGACAAGCUCGUCUUCUUGGGUUUCGUUGUCUCUUCCAAGGGUGUUCAUGUUGAUGAAUCUAAAAUUGAAGCACUUAAAACUUGGCCCAACCCACCAAUUUGCAACAAGUGCGUAGCUUUCUUGGCCUUGCGGGUUUUUAUCGUCGCUUUGUGA
rnacentral:rRNA from 1 species